GUGAGGAAUAUUGGUCAAUGGGCGGGAGCCUGAACCAGCCAAGUCGCGUGAAGGAAGAAGGAUCUAUGGUUCGUAAACUUCUUUUGCAGGGGAAUAAAGUGCAGGACGUGUCCUGUUUUGUAUGUACCCUGAGAAUAAGGAUCGGCUAACUCCGUGCCAGCAGCCGUGGUAAUACGGAGGAUCCGAGCGUUAUCCGGAUUUAUUGGGUUUAAAGGGUGCGUAGGUGGUUUGAUAAGUCAGCGGUGAAAGUUUGCAGCUUAACUGUAAAAAUGCCGUUGAAACUGUCGGACUUGAGUGUAAAUGAGGUAGGCGGAAUGCGUGGUGUAGCGGUGAAAUGCAUAGAUAUCACGCAGAACUCCGAUUGCGAAGGCAGCUUACUAAGCUACAACUGACACUGAAGCACGAAAGCGUGGGGAUCAAACAGGAUUAGAAACCCCAGUAGUCC
rnacentral:rRNA from 1 species